UGGGGAAUAUUGGACAAUGGGCGAAAGCCUGAUCCAACCAUGCCGCGUGGAUGAUGAAGGCCCUAGGGUUGUAAAGUCCUUUUAACGGGGAAGAUAAUGACGGUACCCGUAGAAUAAGCUCCGGCUAACUUCGUGCCAGCAGCCGCGGUAAUACGAAGGGGGCUAGCGUUGCUCGGAAUUACUGGGCGUAAAGCGCACGUAGGCGGAUUGUUAAGUCGGGGGUGAAAUCCUGGAGCUCAACUCCAGAACUGCCUCCGAAACUGGCGAUCUUGAGUUCGGGAGAGGUGAGUGGAACUGCGAGUGUAGAGGUGAAAUUCGUAGAUAUUCGCAAGAACACCAGUGGCGAAGGCGGCUCACUGGCCCGAUACUGACGCUGAGGUGCGAAAGCGUGGGGAGCAAA
rnacentral:rRNA from 1 species